rnacentral:rRNA from 1 species
UACAGAGGUCCCAAGCGUUGUUCGGAUUCACUGGGCGUAAAGGGUGCGUAGGUGGUUGGGAAAGUUUGAUGUGAAAGCUCGGAGCUUAACUCCGAAAUGGCAUUGAAUACUUCUUAACUUGAGGGUCGGAGGGGAGACUGGAAUUCUCGGUGUAGCAGUGAAAUGCGUAGAUAUCGAGAGGAACACCAGUGGCGAAGGCGAGUCUCUGGACGACUCCUGACACUGAGGCACGAAAAGCUAGGGGAGCAAACAGG